UGCACAUAAGCCAUCAUGAAACUACGUGAUGGGUUUCUUCAAAAUGGCGUUAACUCAUCUACUCCUGACCUUCACUGUGGCAGUUAUCAAUCCUCUGAGCUCCAGCACAGUGUCUAGUGACAUCCCACCAAUACCAAAAUCUGUCCUGGAAGGCAAUCCUCUUACACUGGAAACACAAGAAGAAGCACCAUUUGAUGAUUUUUAUUGGACAAAAGAUGAUUCAGAUAUUGUAAUCUUCUAUGAUUCUAAAAAAGUAAGAAUUUACCCUUCAUACAUGAACAGAGUGGAUUUCAAUAAUCGAACACUCUCUAUAACAAUAAAGAAGACACAGGAGAAAGACAGUGGAGUCUACACUGCUAAAGCAAGUGGAAAAACAGAUAUCAUCAUUGGUCAUUACAGAGUAACUGUUGAAAAACAUCCCAGGGUUUUUUACAGUGGACUUCAGUGGGGUUCACUGGAUAGAAGGAACAAAUGGCAACUUCAGUGCAGCUUCAAAAUGCUCUACAAAAUCCCAGAUGAGGAAGAAGGGUCUUAUCUAGCAAACAAAUUGGUGAUUUUCUAAAAAAAAAUAAAAAUAUAUAUACUUUUUAAACUCAAACGCCUGUCUUGUCUAGCUCUGUGCAUUCCGGUUCAUGACAGUUGACAUCUCAUUUUCUCCUCCAACUUCAAAAUUGUUCUAAAUAGUCUACAUCGCUGUUUUAUCAUUCUUUGUAAAAGGCGUUUGACCUUCUUUGCAUGUUCACUUUGUAAAGACUGGGUCGGUACUUUUCCAGAGAUGUAGGACGAUUUUGAAGUUAGAGGAGAAAUUGAGAUGGGAGACUUUCGACCCUAAUACCCUAACUGCACAGAGUACGCAUGCACAUUGCAGAGCUACUCAAAAUGAGUGUUUGAGAUGAAAAAGUGUAUAAUUUUAAUAAUUAAUUUAAUGACCAAUUGUUUCACUAGAUAAGAUCCUUCUUCCUUGGCUGGGAUCGUGUAGAACACUAUGAAGCUGCAAUUUGGACCUUCAACUCCAAAGUCCACUGUAUAGAGAAAACUCUGGAAUGUAUUCCUCAAAAACCAUACUUUAUUCGACUUAAGGAAGAAAGAAAGACAUGAACAUCUUGGAUGGCAUGGGGUUGAAUAAAUUAUGAGGAAAUUUUGAUUUAGAAGUGAACUAGUCCUUUAAGCGGCCCAAGAUGUAGACGAGUUUGUUUCUUUAACAGACAAAUUUACCAUUACAUAACUUACUCACCAGUGGAUCCUCUGCAGUGAAUGGGUGCCGGCAGAAUGAGAGUCCAAACAGCUGAUGAAAAACAUCACAAUGAUCCACAAGUAAUCCACACCACUCCAGUCCAUCAGUUAACCUCUUGAAGUGAAAAGCUGUGUUUCUAAAAAACAAAUCCAUUAUUAAGGCAUAAUCCAUAAUAACGCUUCCUCCAGUGAAAAAGUCCACCCCGUUUGUACUGUUUUCACAUGGAAAUGGUUCUGGAUCUGUGCAUAUUUCUCGCCUGAUUCAGAUAAGACUAACUUUCAACUGGAGAAAGAAAUAUAAUGAAAAGAGGUAUUUUAGCCAGAAGCAACAGUUUUGAGUUAAAAACUUUUUAAUGACUACAAACAGCUAUUAACUUGGCAAGAUGUUCAUUUAUGGACUGGAGUGGUGUGGAUUAUUCUGAUGUUUUUAUCAACUGUUUGAACAUCACUGCAGAGAAUCCAUUGGUGAGCAAGUAAUUCAAUGCUACAUUUUUCAAAAUCUGUCUGAUAAAGAAACAAGUUCUUUCAUAUCUGCCCUAAGGGUAAGUACAUUUUCAUUUUUACAUUAACUAAACCUUUAAAGUCAAAGCUAUUAGUUCAAAUUUGUGCAUCAGACUAAUCUUUUUAGUUAAAACACAAAUAAAUUUCCUUCAUUAUUAUGAACUGACACAUUCUUUCAUUUCUCACUAGGUAAAAGCAAUCAUGGAUCACGUACAGAAUCUGUCUCUUUCUCUUGGAUUAUAUUCCUUUUUCUUUUUGGUGCAAUUAUGAUUUGAAUCAACUAUUGUACUGUAGCUACAGAUUAACAAAAAAGUAAACAUUA